GCCCUGAUAGCCCAACGGUAGAGGCAGCAGAUUCAAAACCUGCACAGUGUGGGUUCGAAUCCCACUCGGGGCA
rnacentral:tRNA from 2 species